UGCUGGUGCUGUUAUAAGGAAGAGCUGCCAGAGAAGACACCCAGCUUCUGUGCUUUUUAUUGAGUCCUUGGAAAUAACAAGCAUGGUGUGUUCAGCGGUGCCGGAGAAGACUGUGGGAAUGGGAAACUCAAUGGUUUUGGGGGCAGGGAGAAUGUGAAGCUGCUGGAUUUUCUGAGAAAGUGUGCAUGAAAUCAAUGGGCUGCUGUGGGGGAAAGAAGGAAGAAUUUCUAAUUCAUAUAUUUGUUCUCUGAUAGGGAAAUAUAAUACUGGUGGAUUUGCUUUUGAGAGAGAGAAGAAAAUUAAAAAUAUAUAUAUAUUUGAGAAGAAGGUUACUUGCAUGACCAGAAAAUGAUUGAGGGAACCCCCAUUUAAAAGGACUGGAUGCCUAAGCCUGAAAUAAUGAACUAGGAACUGCUGUUGCAACAAUGCAAAGAAUUUCUGAAGGAAAGGCAGAGGGAACCUUGGAAAACCAAGAAGAUGAUGGGCCCUGGGACCAGCAGAGCCCUGAGUUGGAGGACCGUGACUGCAGUAAUGAUAAUCUCCCAGCCAGGUCUGAGACUGUGUGGAAUUUGCUGCUCCAGCUGGAUGCAUGAAAACAAUAAUCUACUUCCUGACCUGCUUGAAUUAUUGGGUGGAAAAGAAGUUAACUCACUAUCCCAGUUCCAUGCAGGUUUCCUAUGAAGGAGAUUUACUAAAACAUGAUGGUCAGCGCUGCUUUUUCUUCCACUCUUGCCAGGGGCCAGAAUGCUUCUGUAAGUCCUAUUGCCACUGGCACACCACUCUGCAGUAAUUAUUGCAGCCCAUGCAUCAGCACUGACAAAUAAAGAAACUAUUAAUUUAUCGGUUGGACUUCAUAAUCUUGGUUUUGUUCAUUUAAAAGCAACAUAGGAUGUAUAAGUAUCCUCAACCAUAUUUUUAUUUUCUUUUCAAGCACCAGAUAAUAUGGUAACAUAUACUCGUGUUGAAGUAAAAUGCAGUUUUUUAAGGUUUCUUUUGCAAAGAUUUUGUAACAGUCUAGCUGGGAGCAUAGGGCUUGUGCAGGCACACACAUCUGUGCACCAGACCCUAGGCAUCCCCCUACAGCAUACCACCAGUGAGACAAAAAUUAAAAAACAGAAAAGACUCUGCUUAGCUGGUCCAUACACACAAAGGGACAAACAACUAUCCUAAGGGGUAACAGCCAUUCGGAUAUAACACAUUACUAUUAAAUGGCAUCUGGGAAAAGACAAGAGGUCCUUUAAGAUUCCCCACGUGGAAAAGACUAAAAGGUUACUUUUCUUUUUAAUUAGACAUCAGAGAUUAUGCCCAGGCUGUUUUCAUGACAGAAGCCCUUUAGAAACCUGGCUUCGGUAGUCCUACUGUUUGUGAAAUGACUAAUUUCACAACCCAUGUGGAAAUCCAUAGAGAAUAAUAAACACGGGAGAAAGAAACAGGUUUGACUGUGCAUGUGGCAUGUAAGUGAGAGAAAACAAAACCAGAGGUUUGGGUAAAAAAUAGAGUAGGGAGAUUGAAGGCAGAACAAAUCACUGGGGAAAGGAGAUCUCUGGAGAAUAGGAAAAAGAGUAAAAGAUCUCCAAUAGCAGAGCUGAGAGGCAUGAAAACAGUCAGGUGAGUUGAAAAAACGGAAUGUAGGUGGAAACAUGAGGGAUCAAGGGAAAGAAAAGGGGUUUAGGUUUUCAUUAUUUGGGCUUGGCUG